AAGACACUAAUAAAAGAGUACAUUACACCGCCUUGUCAAGGCGGAAGUGUGGGUUAAACCCCCGCGUGUCUUG
rnacentral:tRNA from 1 species